CUUCCGGCGCUGACUGAAGCCAGGGCCGCCAGGGCCUCGGCCAGCUCGGCCCAGGCGGCUCCAGGGGCUUCCCCAGAGCCGGCUUCGGCGCUCCCCCGGCAGCGCAGCACCAGCAGAAAGCGCACCGUUUCCCCCAGGGCAUCCCAAAUAUUACAAGUAUCAAUAUGAAUCAGCAUAUCAGCAUGAAGUUGCCUGGGCAUUGUGUACAAAGCCUACCACAUCAUCCAGACCCCAGCACAGGGCAUCUGCCAGAAGUACCAAUGACUCAUCAAAGUAUUCUGCCACCAAGACCAGAUCAAAAGUUGAGUCUAGCCAGGCCAGAGCCCAUUGGAUGAAGGAUGAAGAUACUGUGUCUGUUGCAGAAGGACUGAGGGGCAUGGAGUGGUCAACUGAUUGGACAUUCGAUUUGGGAUGGGGAGGAGGUUUGAGGAGGGAGUUGGGGUCAGGCUUUGAGGGCCUGAAUACAGAGCCAGAUGGCCAUAUUUGUA